GAAGACUGGAACUGAGUAAAAUGCCUGUCGAAAAAUGCCUCCGAGCGGUCCUUGGGUUAGUCCGAAGGCGCCAAAACUCAAAUUUGCUGAAAGUAAACAAGUUUGCCCGUCAUUUUGAUACCAAACAUACAAUACUUUCUUCGAUUUUCGCGUAAAAAGAGACAGCAGAGGAAAUACUAAAAGGGAAGGUAAGGUUUUCUUGUCAUUUGUAUGGUAUUUUUGGCCCGGAUAGUCUUUUAAAUAUUUCGUCUUAUCCGAGAAAUUUUGUUACGAAGAGAAACUUCAAAGCCUUGACUAGAACUCUGUGAUUUUUGUUUUCCUAAUUUUGCAUUCUUUUCUUAGUUUUUAAUGAGUUAAUAUUUAGGAUGCCGCCCAAAAAGAACACGCGCUUUAACUUGGCUCAAUACAUGAAAGUUCGGAAGGUUGCAAGAGAGAAAGUUGUGAAAAUCGUAAGCUACAGGUAGAAUACAAAAAAGUCAACGAGCCCAGGAAAAGGCGAGAUAACAUAUUUAAUUCGUCAUUUUAACGUAAAUUAGCAGUGGUGCUUUGAGAAUGUCUUAUAUUUCGAAUAUUAGAGAAUUUUGUAUCAAGGUGUUUUAGGCAAGUGGUGGAAGUGCGAGUACAAGGAGGCUUGUAUUUCAAUUUUGACAAGUUGGCCGCAGUAAGGGAACGAUGCAAGGACAUAACAAAUAAGUUAGAAAAUAUUACUACACAUGAGGGACAGGUAUCUCAGGCACGAACAAGAAGCCCUACUGCACUUGCUGAUGGACGAUCAACAAUGGGACCUAGAAUUUCAAGGAAAAGGAGGCAUGAGACCAUUGAAGCUGCUGCCAGAAUUCAUGGAAGCACAAAUGAACAUUCUUCACCCACUUUUGAGGGAUUGUUUGACACUUUGCAGAAAAGAUGCAAACUGGAUACUCUCACAAGUUAUGUGACAGGGAACAAGCAGUUGACUGAUAGAGU